CGGGGCGUAGCGCAGCUUGGUAGCGCGCCUGCUUUGGGAGCAGGAUGUCGCAGGUUCGAAUCCUGUCGCCCCGA
rnacentral:tRNA from 1 species